rnacentral:rRNA from 1 species
UACGGGGGGGGCAAGCGUUGUUCGGAAUUACUGGGCGUAAAGGGUGCGUAGGCGGUUCGCUAAGUUGAAUGUGAAAACUCUGGGCUUAACCCAGAGCCUGCAUUCAAUACUGGCGGGCUAGAGUUCUGGAGGGGAUAGCGGAAUUCCGGGUGUAGCGGUGAAAUGCGUAGAUAUCAGGAGGAACACCGGUGGCGAAGGCGGCUAUCUGGACAGAGUCUGACGCUGAGGCACGAAAGCUAGGGGAGCAAACAGG